AGUUGGGAUCCCAUUGAAUCCUAAGAUCGAACAAUUGAAUUUUAAGAUUGAAAUCUUGAAUAUUUGAUUCCUAUAUAAGCCCGAGUCGUUAAAAUCAGUCUUGAGUCAUAUUAAGAUUGAAUUAUUGAAUUUUAUUAUUGAAUCUUUGAAUGCUAAUAUCCUGUUACUUCCUGGUCACGUGCGUAUCAUAUGUUCGAAAAAUCAACCAAUAGUGAUGUUUGGAUUGAAACAUAUGUGCUUAAAAAUUAAAAUGCACUUGUAUUUUGUAAUAACCAUAAACAAGUUUGUAAAGUUAUAAUGUAGAAUAAUGAAAAAAAUUUCUCGAACUCAAAUUUUGUGAACCAGGGGGGGAGGUGUCUUUUCCAACAAAGUAAAAAUGGCUUGCGCACGAAAUUUAAA